rnacentral:lncRNA from 1 species
AGAACACAGAUUUUACCAUUUUAUUCCCAUAAUUAUAGUGAAUAUAGCACUAGAACAGAAAAGUUCUACUUAAUGCCAAAUGUCAAAUGUUUCCCUUUGUUUUUAUAAGGACUUUGAUAGAUUUUGACCUUCUAAUUUUACUUUUAUAAUACCAAUUCCAUUUUAUUAAGCUGCAAGUUAACCUGGAAUUAAUUACCAUGCAUUUUAUUGACUUGCAGUUCCAUGUAUCUUGUCAGUAACUCUUGAGAUCGGCUUCAUAGAGACACCAUUACCAGAAUCCAUCCAGGGACACCUUUGCACUCUCUCCACUAACAUUGAAGAGUCCUGAUGAAGCCACUGGUUCUCUGCAGGGCCAUGGACAAGUCACCCAUAUGACUCAUGACACCCAUAUGACAUAUUACUAGGACUGGUACAACACUGUAGAAAAAUCUAAAGACAGAGUGAAUAGUGUGUAUGCACAUGUGGGUAGCUUCAAAUUUAUCUAGCACAGAAGUUAAAUCAAUAAAUUUGCAGGUUUAUCUC